rnacentral:rRNA from 1 species
CCUACGGGAGGCUGCAGUGGGGAAUAUUGUACAAUGGGGGCAACCCUGAUCCAGCCAUGCCGCGUGUGUGAAGAAGGCCCUCGGGUUGUAAAGCACUUUCAGUGAGGAAGAACGCCUGGUGGUUAAUACCCAUCAGGAAAGACAUCACUCACAGAAGAAGCACCGGCUAACUCCGUGCCAGCAGCCGCGGUAAUACGGAGGGUGCGAGCGUUAAUCGGAAUUACUGGGCGUAAAGCGCGCGUUGGUGGCUUGAUAAGCCGGUUGUGAAAGCCCCGGGCUCAACCUGGGAACGGCAUCCGGAACUGUCAAGCUAGAGUGCAGGAGAGGAAGGUAGAAUUCCCGGUGUAGCGGUGAAAUGCGUAGAGAUCGGGAGGAAUACCAGUGGCGAAGGCGGCCUUCUGGACUGACACUGACACUGAGGUGCGAAAGCGUGGGUAGCAAACAGGAUUAGAUACCCGGGUAGUC